UACGUAGGUGGCGAGCGUUAUCCGGAUUUACUGGGUGUAAAGGGCGCGUAGGCGGGAAUGCAAGUCAGAUGUGAAAUACUGAGGCUCAACCUCAGGGGUGCAUUUGAAACUACAUUUCUUGAGUGAUGGAGAGGCAGGCGGAAUUCCCGGUGUAGCGGUGGAAUGCGUAGAUAUCGGGAGGAACACCAGUGGCGAAGGCGGCCUGCUGGACAUUAACUGACGCUGAGGCGCGAAAGCGGGGGGAGCAAACAGGAUUAGAUACCCUGGUAGUCCACGCCGUAAACGAUGGAUACUAGGUGUGGGGGGUCUGACCCCCUCCGUGCCGGAGUUAACACAAUAAGUAUCCCACCUGGGGAGUACGGUCGCAAGACUGAA
rnacentral:rRNA from 1 species